GAUGAACGCUGGCGGCGUGCCUAACACAUGCAAGUCGAACGGAAAGGCCCUGCGCUUGUGGGGUUGUCGUUGGCGGAAAGCGGGAGGGUAACACGUGGAUCCCCUCCCUCUAUUUCGGGGAAAAUUUCGGAAAACGGGGUCAAAUCCGAUAUGAUCUCUUGCACCGCGUGGGGCAUUGGAAAAUUUCGGCGGUUGGGGCUGGAAUCGCGGGUUAUGAGCUUGUUGGGUGGGUUGGUGCGGACCAAGGCUAUCACGGGUAGCCGGCCUGGGAGGGUGAACGGCCACAAGGGGACUACGGUACGGACCAGAAUGGUACGGGAGGCAGUAGUGGGGAAUAUUGCACAAUGGGCGGAAGCGUGAUACAGAGACGUCGCGUGCGGGAUGACGGCCUUCGGGUUGUAAACCGCUUUCGCCUGUGACGAAGCGUGAGUGACGGUAAUGGGUAAAGAAGCACCGGCUAACUACGUG
rnacentral:rRNA from 1 species